CAUUAGAUGGCUGAAAGCAAGUAAUGGUCUCUUAAACCAAAAAAUAGUAAAAUAGCAAUUACUU
rnacentral:tRNA from 1 species